CCCUUAGACGUUCUGGGCCGCACGCGCGCUACACUGACCAGUGCAACAAGCAUCCGUCCUUGGCCGACAGGCUCGGGCAAUCUUUGAACGCUGGUCGUGAUGGGGAUAGACUUUUGCAAUUUUUGGUCUUCAACGAGGAAUUCCUAGUAAACGCAAGUCAUCAACUUGCAUUGAUUACGUCCCUGCCCUUUGUACACACCGCCCGUCGCACCUACUGAUUGAAUGGUCCGGUGAAGCCUCCGGAUUGGCGCGCACCCCGGUGCCGCCGAGAAGUUGGCUAAACCUUACCAUUUAGAGGAAGGUGAAGUCGUAACA
rnacentral:rRNA from 1 species